AUUGAUUUGAGAAUAUUUAAGAUACCAGUUGGAGUUAUUUCUCACCUGUCGUAAUGAUUGACGUUUCUUCUUGUUCAAUGUAACUUCCGAUUUCUCAGAAUUUUGGUGAUUCCUUUUCAAUUGGUCAAGUUCCUUUUCAAGUCGAAUGUUUUCCUCUGGAAGGGUAAAAAAGAAAUUAUUCACAUAUUAUAUCAAAAAUGGAGAAUGGAACAAAAAAACCAAAGAAAUUCAAUGUUGGUCAAGUAAAGUACAACUAAAGGAUCAAAUGAAUAAUCUGAAGAAAUUACAACGUUCAGGAUUCUCUUGUCGAUCAAAUUUCCUCUAUGGUUACAUUUUACCCUGUUAAUUCAUUUUGAUGUGUUUCCCCUGAGCCUACUGAUUAGAUGCUGUAAAUAAGCGUGAUACUCAACUGUUCAAAUGAGACAUAUGAUAAGGAGCAUCAACGUACUUGAAUUGUUUCAUCAGCCUACACUAUUUUCCAGUUAUUAACCAUAAUAAUAAUAACCUAAGCUUGUCAACAUUAGAAGCAAAUAGUUAACAUACUUUAAUAUCAGUUCUUUAAAUAGAUUGUAAAUCUGUGCCAUCAACAUUUUCUAUCAAAACAAAUCAUUCCUUAAUCAUGGCUCAUCUUUGAUUAUAUAAGCUCCAUAUCAGUGUAACUCUCACCUCUUAUCCUCUUGAUCACCACGAAAGCUGAAAAUUUUCAAAAAGACUUGCAUCAUUGACUAUUGUUGUUUAAUCAACAUUCACAACUCAAAUUUGACAUUCUUUUUGUCUCAAUAGUUUCAACAUCACCCUGAAAAUUUCAUUUUAUCUAUGGAAUCAAUGUCUUUCUGUUAACGUUCAGCUCUAUUGGUGAUGAGGAAAAGAAAACUUUCUAACAGCUCGAUUUCUCCUUUUCUUAAGUGUUCAUAUCUUGAUUGUUGCACUUUUCACGAAACAUUUAUCAUCUUAUUUCAAUUUUUUACUCACGUUGGGUUUCUAAUUCUUCAGCAUCAGAUACUCGAUAUGAUUCGAUUGGUCAUAUUGGUUAAAAAAGUUGAUCACAAAUUGAUCUAUUGGAUUGGAAGGAUCGUUUAUUAAAACCAUCGAUGGAAUCGGUUUAUUGUAUCCAGAAUCAACUUCAUCCUCAGUAUCAUCACCAUCCUCUUUAUCAUCAUGAGGAGAAAUAGUUUUUAUAUCACAAAUUGAACGGAAUGGCCUUAAUUGUAGAUUCUUAUCCUAAAUCCAAUCAUCGGAUAGUCUUACCUCGAAUAAAUCAUCUCUUUGGUUAAUACAAUGAUCCAUGAAGACACAGGAAUCCUUAAGUUUAGCAUGAUCUCGUUUCAAUAAAUCAUAAGUCUAUUAAGAAGAAGAGGAUUGGAAAUGAUUAAUCAAUUGGUGAUCACUAGAAAGUCUAAAGCGAUGGAAGAUUUGAUUGAUUACCCUCGUUUUUUCUCUAAGUAAUCGACGACCAUGUAAAUAAUCAUCUUCCAAUGUGUUAAACUCUUCUCGUAAAUUUUCCCCCUCGAAGGAAUAAGUGUGACGUUCGUUGUCCAAGAGGGUGUUGGCCAGUAGAACUCGUCGAUAUCUCUCUUCAAUAUCAUUCGAAGCUUCAUCCAUCUGAUUCUAAAAAGAUAAACAAUGAAAAAGAAAUGGAAUCAAUAGUUAAUUUAAAAACAAUCGAACAAUGAAACAAAAGGUUCAAUGAGCAGACAAUUCGUACUCUUUUACGUUUCCUGGUGAAUCGAUGACUCAGAGAUUGACUCAAAAUUCCAAGAAGAUUAGAAUCGAAGAGACAACAGAAAAUAAGCAUUUUCGAAAAAUUGAACAUUUUCACUCUUCACUUUUCUUUCCAAUCCUUUGGAUGAUCAACAAUCAGUGUCAACACUUUAGCUAAACAAUCUUGGUCUGUGAUCAAAAAUCUCAAUCUCAAUGAUGAUCAAUUAUUCGACAAAGAAACUCCCAUUGGCCAAUCAAACGUGAUCAAUUUAAAUUGUGACAAAUGAUUUAAACCAAUAGGAAACACCAGUAAUCAGAGAAAGUGAGAUUUUGAUAAUUACCUGGAAAUUUUCAGGGAAUCCUUCGUCUUCUAUGUUAAUUAACUUGGAAUAAUCUUCAUUUUCAUCUUCAUCAUCAUCAUCACCAUAAUCCUGGUCCUCCUUUUGAUAUAAAAUGAUGAUGAUAAAAGUUAAUGAUGAAAUAAAGAUGAUCAAAAAUGAUGGAAGAGGCGAAAAAAGGGAAAUUGAAACGAAAAGAAAUUAAUUUAAGCUUACAUAUGGAACAUUCUGUUUACAUUCUGUAUUUCGGGUUUGCUGACAAUUAGCAAAUUUUUUGCUUCGCUCAAUCAACAGCGAAACAAAGAGACACUAAAAUUUAAUUAGAUUUACAUUGUUUUCUUUCCUCUAGGUGACCUUAAUUGUAAUGGUGAAAAUUAUCAAAAAUGAUGAGGCUGGUGAACUAAAUUAAAGGAGGAAGAGACAAAAGGAAACAGGAUAAAGUCAUGAAAGGGAAAAUGAUUGGUAUUCUAAACCUACACAAUCAACAUUUAACGACCACAAUUAAAUCAAUAAACAAUCGGGACAAAAUGGAUCAGAUUGACUAAUUUUGCUGAUGAAAACUGCCGAAAGCUCAAUAUGGAGAAACACUAAUUAAACUGGAAGCAUCAUAAAGAUACUAGAUGAAAACAUCAACACGGAAAUGAGAGGAAAAUGAAAAGCCAAUUAAAGAGAUACAAAUAUUAUCUCCAUGGUUCAAUUAGAUUACAUGAUUACUGUUAAUUGUAAUGGAAACAUGAGGCCAUGACAUCGGGAUUGAAUUUUGAUCGGAUCAAGUGAUUAAAUUGUCUCUUACCGAUUG